rnacentral:lncRNA from 1 species
CUCAGACGUUUUACACUGAUUUCUUUUGAAUUACUUCUUUAUUUAUAUAUGCUUUCCUUACUUAUGAGCAUUCCCUCUGAUUUUUGGUUGUGUCCAUGAUUCUUUGGCUAAUUGUCAGAAUUAAUUUGUAUUCCCUUACCAUAUUUGUGCUUUUCAAAUCGUCAGCAUAUAUUUUCCUUACUUGAAUUAUUGUGUAUCUAACCCUUAUUGCAUACUAUGUGCUCUACUACUCUUACUGGGGUAAAUGUAGAGUCUGAUUGAUUCUUUUCCUUUUUAAAAUCCAUUGCUUGUUGCCGUUUGUCUUGGACUCUUUAAUUGGGAAAUCCUUACAUUGAGGGGAUUGUGACUGAUGCUCGUUCCUUAAUUAUAAUUUGGUGCCUUGUUUGUUCACUCGUUUUAGUACUAUAAGUACCCUCCCCCAUUUUCUUUGAAAAACAACCAACAUAUUGCAUAUCUCUCAUACGAAGACAUUACAGUCUCUUUGAACUUUCUUUCAAUAACACCCAGUGCUCUCUAUCUCUCUAGUGUUUUGUUUCUUGUCUACAAACUCUCUCACUCAAUCGGCUGAAAGCCAAGACUGAGUAAUCUUGGUUGUUUACUUUUGCACUACUAAGGUUCUGCAACAUUAUUUGCUUGGGUUUGCCUGCUACUCUCUUUGUUGCACACUGCCAUUCUCUCUUUGCUACACACUGCUGCUCUCACCUUGCUGCUCUUAUUCUAUGCAUAUUUUUCUCUUUAUUGUGCACUACUGCUUAUUGUUGUUGUGUUCUCUUGUCUGCAAUUGGUAUGUUACCUAUUUAACAUACAGUUUCCAAAGCAACAUGCUUUUACUAGUUUUGCAUUUCUUCUUGUUUCUUGUGUUCUUUUAUCUUCUGCUGCUCUUGUUGUCACUAGUAUACACUUUCCACCUAUUUAGCUU